rnacentral:rRNA from 1 species
UACGUAGGGGGCAAGCGUUGUCCGGAUUCAUUGGGCGUAAAGAGCGUGUAGGCGGCCAGGUAGGUCGGUUGUGAAAACUGGAGGCUCAACCUUCAGAGGUCGACCGAAACCAUCUGGCUAGAGUCCGGGAGAGGAGAGUGGAAUUCCUGGUGUAGCGGUGAAAUGCGUAGAGAUGUGGAGGAACACCGAUGGCGAAGGCAGCCCCCUGGGUCAAGAUUGACGCUCAUGCACGAAAGCGGUGGGGA